rnacentral:rRNA from 1 species
UACGUAGGGUGCGAGCGUUGUCCGGAAUUAUUGGGCGUAAAGAGCUUGUAGGCGGUUUGUCGCGUCUGCCGUGAAAAUUCGAGGCUCAACCUCGAACUUGCGGUGGGUACGGGCAGACUAGAGUGUGGUAGGGGAGACUGGAAUUCCUGGUGUAGCGGUGAAAUGCGCAGAUAUCAGGAGGAACACCGAUGGCGAAGGCAGGUCUCUGGGCCGCAACUGACGCUGAGGAGCGAAAGCAUGGGGAGCGAACAGG